GAGGGUGAGUAAUUAAUGACAGAAUUUUCAUUUUUGGGUGAACUAACUCUUUAAGUGACAUUGAAAAGCUACCUACAGAUUACUGAAGUUUCAUUGAACUUCUUUUUAUUUUACAAGUUUUUAGACAAUUGUACUUUACCUUUGAUUAUGGAUGCUUUUGCCGGAUAUGAAACUUCCUCGGUCAGUGCCUCUUGAGGAAAACAUGAACCUGGCUAUCUGUACAUUCUCCACUCCUUGGUCUCCCCUGAGAAUGCCUGGAAUCAUCAUCUACUUUCCUCAGAGGGCAAUCGAAGUCCCGAGCAGCUGUGGCAGAUUGGAAUGAUGCACACAAAUAAUGACCGAUCUGAGAGAUACGAGGACAUUGAAGAGCCAGAUCUAGACUGGGAUGUAGCAGCUACUUACGAUGCCUGUGAAGAUCUUGGAGUUGUUGUUCCAGAAUUUGAAUGUCCUUUGAGUGCAGAUGGAUUGAGGGCUCUUGAACAUCUGCUGAAUUCAACUGGUCCUAAUAUCCCUGUCAAAGAACUGUACUUGCUUUGUCGGGAGUUUGUUUCAACAAAUAUGAAUUAAA